rnacentral:rRNA from 1 species
UGUUGAUAUUAUCUAGUGAAAUUGUUAAGUGAAGAUUAUUAUAUGGUUGAUUGUGUUUUGCUGGGGCGGCAGGAAUAUAAUGGUUAACUGUUUUAAAAAUUAAAUAUUUAUUAAUAGAAGAUGGUCCUUUAUUUAAGAGGUAAGAGUAAGUUACUUUAGGGAUAACAGCAUAAUUUCUUUUGAGAGUUCAUAUCGAAGAUGAUAGUUGUGACCUCGAUGUUGAAUUAAAUUUUCUUUUAGGUGUAGAAGUUUAAAGGGAGGGCCUGUUCGGCCUAUAAGUAUUUACAUGAUUUGAGUUCAGACCGGU